rnacentral:rRNA from 1 species
CCUACGGGAGGCAGCAGUGAGGAAUAUUGGUCAAUGGUCGGGAGACUGAACCAGUCAAGCCGCGUGCGGGAUGAAGGUACAGAGUAUCGUAAACCGCUUUUGUCAGGGAACAAAGGCGGGGACGUGUCCCCGGAUGAGUGUAUCUUAAGAAAAAGCAUCGGCUAACUCCGUGCCAGCAGCCGCGGUAAUACGGAGGAUGCGAGCGUUAUCCGGAUUUAUUGGGUUUAAAGGGUGCGCAGGCGGUCUGUUAAGUUAGCGGUCAAAGGCCGGGGCUUAACCCCGGGCCCGCCUUUGAAACUGGCAGUCUCGAGUGGGGGAGAAGUAUGCGGAAUGCGCGGUGUAGCGGUGAAAUGCAUAGAUAUCGCGCAGAACUCCGAUUGCGAAGGCAGCAUGCCGGCUCCACACUGACGCUGAGGCACGAAAGCGUGGGUAUCGAACAGGAUUAGAUACCCCAGUAGUC